rnacentral:rRNA from 1 species
UACGUAGGGUGCAAGCGUUGUCCGGAAUUAUUGGGCGUAAAGAGCUCGUAGGCGGUCUGUCGCGUCGGCUGUGAAACCUUGGGGCUCAACCCCAAGCCUGCAGUCGAUACGGGCAGACUAGAGUGCGGUAGGGGAGACUGGAAUUCCUGGUGUAGCGGUGAAAUGCGCAGAUAUCAGGAGGAACACCGGUGGCGAAGGCGGAUCUCUGGGCCUUACCUGACGCUCAGGCACGAAAGCUAGGGGAGCGAACAGG